CAGUAGCCGCGGGAAUACGGAGGGGGCUAGCGUUGUUCGGAAUUACUGGGCGUAAAGCGUACGUAGGCGGCUUUGUAAGUUAGAGGUGAAAGCCUGGUGCUCAACACCAGAACUGCCUUUAAGACUGCAUCGCUUGAACGUCGGAGAGGUGAGUGGAAUUCCGAGUGUAGAGGUGAAAUUCGUAGAUAUUCGGAAGAACACCAGUGGCGAAGGCGGCUCACUGGACGACUGUUGACGCUGAGGUACGAAAGCGUGGGGAGCAAACAGGAUUAGAUACCCCUGUAGUCCCUGUCUCUUAUAC
rnacentral:rRNA from 1 species